rnacentral:rRNA from 1 species
UUGCUUAACAAGGAGAUUGCCAUUGAAACUGUUAGACUUGAGAAUGGACGAGGUAGGCGGAAUUCGUAGUGUAGCGGUGAAAUGCAUAGAUAUUACGAAGAACUCCAAUAGUGUAGACUGCUUACCAGACCAUAUCUGACACUAAGGCACGAAAGUGUGGGUAUCAAACAGGAUUAGAUACCCUGGUAGUCCACACAGUAAACGAUGAAUACUAACUGUUUGCGAUAUACAGCAAGUGGUCGAGCGAAAGCGUUAAGUAUUCCACCUGGGAAGUAUGCCGGCAACGGUGAAACUCAAAGGAAUUGACGGGGGCCCGCACAAGCGGAGGAACAUGUGGUUUAAUUCGAUAAUACGCGAGGAACCUUACCCGGGCUCGAACGAUAUUUGAAUACAUCCGAAAAGAUGUAGCUAGCAAUAGCAAAUACCGAGGUGCUGCAUGGUUGUCGUCAGCUCGUGCCGUGAGGUGUCGACUUAAGUGUCAUAACGAGCGCAACCCUUACCGAUAGUUACCAUCAGAUAAUGCUGGGGACUCUAUUGGGACUGCCACCGUAAGGUGUGAGGAAGGAGAGGAUGACGUCAAAUCAGCACGGCCCUUAUGUCCGGGGCGACACACGUGUUACAAUGGGAGAAACAAAGGGUCGCUACCUGGCAACAGGAUGCUAAUCUCGAAAAUCUCUCUCAGUUCGGAUUGGAGUCUGCAACUCGACUCCAUGAAGCUGGAUUCGCUAGUAAUCGCACAUCAGCCCUGGUGCGGUGAAUACGUUCCCGGGCCUUGUACACACCGCCCGUCAAGCCAUGGAAGCUGGAAGUACCUGAAGUAUGUAACUGAAAAGAGCGUCCU